AGUGAACGCUGGCGGUAGGCCUAACACAUGCAAGUCGAACGGCAGCACAGUAAGAGCUUGCUCUUACGGGUUGCGAGUGGCGGACGGGUGAGGAAUACAUCGGAAUCUACUUUUUCGUGGGGGAUAACGUAGGGAAACUUACGCUAAUACCGCAUACGACCUACGGGUGAAAGCAUGGGAUCUUCGGACCUUGCGCGAUUGAAUGAGCCGAUGUCGGAUUAGCUAGUUGGCGGGGUAAAGGCCCACCAAGGCGACGAUCCGUAGCUGGUCUGAGAGGAUGAUCAGCCAAACUGGAACUGAGACACGGUCCAGACUCCUACGGGAGGCAGCAGUGGGGAAUAUUGGACAAUGGGCGCAAGCCUGAUCCAGCCAUACCGCGUGGGUGAAGAAGGCCUUCGGGUUGUAAAGCCCUUUUGUUGGGAAAGAAAAGCAGCAGGUUAAUACCCCGCUGUUAUGACGGUACCCAAAGAAUAAGCACCGGCUAACUUCGUG
rnacentral:rRNA from 1 species